AGAAACUCAAAUGAAUUGACGGGGGCCCGCACAAGCGGAGGAGCAUGUGGUUUAAUUCGAUGAUACGCGAGGAACCUUACCUGGGCUCGAACGUAAGAUGACUGUAGGUGAAAGCUUACAUCUCUUCGGAGCAUUUUACGAGGUGCUGCAUGGUUGUCGUCAGCUCGUGCCGUGAGGUGUCGGGUUAAGUCCCAUAACGAGCGCAACCCCUACCCUUAGUUGCCAUCAGGUAAUGCUGGGGACUCUAAGGAUACUGCCCCGGUUAACGGGGAGGAAGGUGGGGAUGACGUCAAGUCAGUAUGUCCCUUACGUCCAGGGCUACACACGUGUUACAAUGGCCGGUACAAUGAGUUGCGACCCUGCAAAGGUAAGCCAAUCUCAAAAAACCGGUCUCAGUUCGGAUUGCAGUCUGCAACUCGACUGCAUGAAGUUGGAAUCGCUAGUAAUCGUAGAUCAGCACGCUACGGUGAAUACGUUCCCGGGCCUU
rnacentral:rRNA from 1 species